GCCCGCUUGGCUUAGUGGUACAGCGUCUCACUCGUAUAUAUGCGACAUGAGAAGAUCCUCGGUUCGAUUCCGAGAGUGGGCA